rnacentral:rRNA from 1 species
UACGGAGGGGGCUAGCGUUGUUCGGAAUUACUGGGCGUAAAGCGCGCGUAGGCGGCUUUGUAAGUUAGAGGUGAAAGCCCGGAGCUCAACUCCGGAACUGCCUUUAAGACUGCAUCGCUAGAAUCAUGGAGAGGUGAGUGGAAUUCCGAGUGUAGAGGUGAAAUUCGUAGAUAUUCGGAAGAACACCAGUGGCGAAAGCGGCUCUCUGGACCACAACUGACGCUGAGGCGCGAAAGCUAGGGGAGCAAACAGG